rnacentral:misc_RNA from 1 species
ACACGUAUCCACGUACCCACUAGUAAAACAUUGUGUCACCAAACAUCUCUCAGCGACCGGAUCAUGAGACCCGCAAACGGUAGAGUCUCUCCAAAAGGGAGACUGUCUCACCGGUAGAGGGAUUCCGUCUUGAGGUUUGACAUAAAACAAUCUCCCAAGCUUUCGGGCUUGCAGUUUCUGGCUGCCGUUUUGUACUUGGUUGUACCACUUUUUCACCCUUUGUACCUUUUAUUUUGUCUAAACUUAAAGGGUCUGACUUGGAAACAAGCAAAUCCGAUUGUCGCGAAAUGUUUUUA